GACAACGCUGGCGGCGUGCCUAACACAUGCAAGUCGAACGAAGCUCCCCGAUACAAGGCUUCGGCCAAGUUGAAGGGAUGACUUAGUGGCGGACGGGUGAGUAACGCGUGAGGAACCUGCCUUUCAGUGGGGGACAACAGUUGGAAACGGCUGCUAAUACCGCAUAAUGUUUCUGGACCGCAUGAUCUGGAAACCAAAGCUUUAUGUGCUGAAAGAUGGCCUCGCGUCUGAUUAGAUAGUUGGUGAGGUAACGGCCCACCAAGUCUACGAUCAGUAGCCGGACUGAGAGGUUGAACGGCCACAUUGGGACUGAGAUACGGCCCAGACUCCUACGGGAGGCAGCAGUGGGGAAUAUUGGGCAAUGGGGGAAACCCUGACCCAGCAACGCCGCGUGAAGGAAGAAGGCUUUCGGGUUGUAAACUUCUUUUGUCAGGGACGAGUAGAAGACGGUACCUGACGAAUAAGCCACGGCUAACUACGUG
rnacentral:rRNA from 1 species